AUGCACGCUGGCGGCGUGCUUAACCCAUGCACGUCGAACGGAAAGGCUCCUGCUUGCCGGGGUACUCGAGUGGCGAACGGGUGAGUAACACGUGGGUGAUCUGCCCUGCACUUCGGGAUAAGCCUGGGAAACUGGGUCUAAUACCGGAUAGGACCACAUUUUGGAUGGUGUGGUGGAAAGUUUUUCGGUGUGGGAUGAGCUCGCGGCCUAUCAGCUUGUUGGUGGGGUAAUGGCCUACCAAGGCGUCGACGGGUAGCCGGCCUGAGAGGGUGUACGGCCACAUUGGGACUGAGAUACGGCCCAGACUCCUACGGGAGGCAGCAGUGGGGAAUAUUGCACAAUGGGCGCAAGCCUGAUGCAGCGACGCCGCGUGGGGGAUGACGGCCUUCGGGUUGUAAACUCCUUUCGCUAGGGACGAAGCGCAAGUGACGGUACCUGGAGAAGAAGCACCGGCUAACUACGUG
rnacentral:rRNA from 1 species